rnacentral:rRNA from 1 species
CGCGGCCUAUCAGCUUGUUGGUGGGGUGAUGGCCUACCAAGGCGACGACGGGUAGCCGGCCUGAGAGGGUGUCCGGCCACACUGGGACUGAGAUACGGCCCAGACUCCUACGGGAGGCAGCAGUGGGGAAUAUUGCACAAUGGGCGCAAGCCUGAUGCAGCGACGCCGCGUGGGGGAUGACGGCCUUCGGGUUGUAAACCUCUUUCACCAUCGACGAAGGUCCGGGUUUUCUCGGAUUGACGGUAGGUGGAGAAGAAGCACCGGCCAACUACGUGCCAGCAGCCGCGGUAAUACGUAGGGUGCGAGCGUUGUCCGGAAUUACUGGGCGUAAAGAGCUCGUAGGUGGUUUGUCGCGUUGUUCGUGAAAUCUCACGGCUUAACUGUGAGCGUGCGGGCGAUACGGGCAGACUGGAGUACUGCAGGGGAGACUGGAAUUCCUGGUGUAGCGGUGGAAUGCGCAGAUAUCAGGAGGAACACCGGUGGCGAAGGCGGGUCUCUGGGCAGUAACUGACGCUGAGGAGCGAAAGCGUGGGGAGCGAACAGGAUUAGAUACCCUGGUAGUCCACGCCGUAAACGGUGGGUACUAGGUGUGGGUUUCCUUCCCUGGGAUCCGUGCCGUAGCUAACGCAUUAAGUACCCCGC